rnacentral:rRNA from 1 species
GACAGAGGUCCCAAGCGUUGUUCGGAUUCACUGGGCGUAAAGGGUGCGCAGGCGGUUCUGCAAGUCCGGCGUGAAAUCCCCGGGCUUAACCUGGGAAUGGCGCUUGAAACUACGGGACUGGAGUAUGGCAGAGGGAGGUGGAAUUCCACGUGUAGCGGUGAAAUGCGUAGAGAUGUGGAGGAACACCGAUGGCGAAGGCAGCCUCCUGGGCCAAUACUGACGCUCAUGCACGAAAGCGUGGGGAGCAAACAGG